rnacentral:rRNA from 1 species
UGACGUGUUUUAACUGCCCUGAAAGCAUCAGAUCCUAUCUGAUCUUGGAAAGUAAGGAGGGUCAGGUCUGGUCAGUAUUUUGAAAGGAGACUGCAAGAUAAUACUAAGUAGGCUAUAUUUC